AGCGAACGCUGGCGGCAGGCCUAACACAUGCAAGUCGAACGAACCUUUCGGGGUUAGUGGCGGACGGGUGAGUAACACGUGGGAACGUGCCUUUAGGUUCGGAAUAACUCAGGGAAACUUGUGCUAAUACCGAAUGUGCCCUUCGGGGGAAAGAUUUAUCGCCUUUAGAGCGGCCCGCGUCUGAUUAGCUAGUUGGUUGAGGUAAUGGCUCACCAAGGCGACGAUCAGUAGCUGGUCUGAGAGGAUGAUCAGCCACAUUGGGACUGAGACACGGCCCAAACUCCUACGGGAGGCAGCAGUGGGGAAUCUUGCGCAAUGGGCAAAAGCCUGACGCAGCCAUGCCGCGUGAAUGAUGAAGGUCUUAGGAUUGUAAAAUUCUUUCACCGGGGACGAUAAUGACGGUACCCGGAGAAGAAGCCCCGGCUAACUUCGUG
rnacentral:rRNA from 1 species